rnacentral:misc_RNA from 1 species
UGUGUUUUGCAAAUUGUAUUCUUGGA